AUUGAACGCUGGCGGCAUGCUUUACACAUGCAAGUCGAACGGUAACAGGCCGCAAGGUGCUGACGAGUGGCGAACGGGUGAGUAAUGCAUCGGAACGUGCCCAGUCGUGGGGGAUAACUACUCGAAAGAGUAGCUAAUACCGCAUACGAUCUAUGGAUGAAAGCGGGGGACCGUAAGGCCUCGCGCGAUUGGAGCGGCCGACGUCAGAUUAGGUAGUUGGUGGGGUAAAGGCUCACCAAGCCAACGAUCUGUAGCUGGUCUGAGAGGACGACCAGCCACACUGGGACUGAGACACGGCCCAGACUCCUACGGGAGGCAGCAGUGGGGAAUUUUGGACAAUGGGCGCAAGCCUGAUCCAGCAAUGCCGCGUGCAGGAAGAAGGCCUUCGGGUUGUAAACUGCUUUUGUACGGAACGAAACGGCUCUGGUUAAUACCCGGGGCUAAUGACGGUACCGUAAGAAUAAGCACCGGCUAACUACGUG
rnacentral:rRNA from 1 species